rnacentral:rRNA from 1 species
GACGAACGCUGGCGGCGCGCUUAACACAUGCAAGUCGAGCGGCCGGGGCUUCGGCCCCGGCAGCGGCGCACGGGUGCGUAACGCGUGGGAACCUGCCCCGGGGUUCGGGACAACGGCGGG